AUUGAACGCUGGCGGCAGGCUUAACACAUGCAAGUCGAGCGGGGUGAUGGUGCUUGCACUAUCACUUAGCGGCGGACGGGUGAGUAAUGCUUAGGAAUCUGCCUAUUAGUGGGGGACAACAUCUCGAAAGGGAUGCUAAUACCGCAUACGUCCUACGGGAGAAAGCAGGGGAUCAUUUGUGACCUUGCGCUAAUAGAUGAGCCUAAGUCGGAUUCGCUAGUUGGUGGGGUAAAGGCCUACCAAGGCGACGAUCUGAAGCGGGUCUGAGAGGAUGAUCCGCCACACUGGGACUGAGACACGGCCCAGGCUCCUACGGGAGGCAGCAGUGGGGAAUAUUGGACAAUGGGGGGAACCCUGAUCCAGCCAUGCCGCGUGUGUGAAGAAGGCCUUAUGGUUGUAAAGCACUUUAAGCGAGGAGGAGGCUCUUUUGGUUAAUACCCAAGAUGAGUGGACGUUACUCGCAGAAUAAGCACCGGCUAACUCUGUGCCAGCAGCCGCGGUAA
rnacentral:rRNA from 1 species